rnacentral:tmRNA from 1 species
GGGGCCGAUUUGGAUUCGACGCCGGUGAUGAAACUUUAGGUGCAUGCCGAGUUGGUAACAGAACUCGUAAAUCCACUGUUGCAACUUUCUAUAGUUGCCAAUGACGAAACCUACGGGGAAUACGCUCUCGCCGCGUAAGCGGUGCUAGCCUUCCUUCUGGUAGCUUCGGCUCCAGCAAUCAUCAGGGGAUGCCUGUAAACCCGAAAUGAUUGUCAUAUAGAACAGGAUCGUGUCCUAGUACGUUGUGGACGAAGCGACUAAAACUUACACAACGCG